ACGUUAUUCUUAGAUAUCUUAUUCCUCUUGAAUUUCUACUUCUUUGUAGUAUGUACUACAGUAGACAUUGUCAUUGAGGGAACAUUAUUUCUCUUUCACCCCAGUUUGUGAACGUUCAUUCUGAUGACUAUAGAAACAUUACAAAUUAAAUAUCGUCAACAGAAGAAGCUUUUCCAGUUUAUUGUAAAGAAAUAGAGAAAUCCAUGAUAUCCACACUCGACAAUGUUUGACAAAUUUGAAAUAUGUCACAUUUUCAUUUUCUACAGGAGAUGGAAGGCGACUCCCAGUUACUCUGUAAUUACUCUAGGACUAGGGAGCGAUUAUCUUAUGGUUCACUGCGGAGGUGCUCAUCGUAAAGGAAGAGGCAAAUGAAGUCAGUAUCUGAUGUUGUCUGGUACACAUUUCUUCAGAGCGGCAACUGAAAAUUAAUCUGCAAAAUGUUAUAUAAACAUCGAACGUUUCAUAAAAUGCUUGGCGAAGGAUGCUUGCUUAUAAACAGAACAAGAACUAUAAUAUAGCGGAGAGUGGGGUAAUCACGAAUGCGGGGUAAUUCCGAACGCCGUGGUUCCUGCAUAUUAGAAGGGGAUAGUAAUACUAUUUCUCUAUUGGUGUAGAGAGGGGAGCCCACCUUUAGUGUCGGACAAGCAGUGGUAUAAAGUAGUCGUGCAUACCAGUUCAAGAUAAGUCCAAUAUAAUUUUUUCAUCACAUUUCAUGUAAUUUUUUUGUUAGAUUGUAUUAUUAUAGUAUCUAUUACGUAAGCAAUACAAUUGUGAUCUUUUGAUGUAAAAAUAAACCCUAAUUUAACAAUAUUUUAAUUUAAAUUAAAAUUGUUUCAGAUGCCACAAAAUUAUAAACAAAAAACGAAAGUGAAAUAUUGAUUAGAAGAUUAACAAAAACUGUGAAAGAUGUGAAGAAUUUAACUUUAUCAUUGGGUACAGCUACUAUUUAUUCUGUGCCUAAAACUACUGUUUUUGAUUAUUUCAAGAAAGAAGUUAUAAAACAACCAAGAUGUGAAAAAAACACACGGUGUUCCUAAUUACCCCACGCCCAUCGAGUAAUCGCGAAGGAUUUUUAUUAAGGUUUUAUUUUCCACUUAGGUGUUCGUAAUUACCCCACUCUCCCCUAUAUAGGAAUCAUCGUACCAGAACAAAGAUAAUGAUUUUGUGAAGUUGUGUUCUAUUAUAAUAUCGAACCAUAGAGAGGCUUAUAAAGAUCGCUAUACAUUGGGCCAUAGUUCAUUGAAUGUAAACCGGAAAAUCGAAAGACGCCACAGAACAUUACUUGAUGCUAUCGUCUAGUAUUAUCGUCGAUUAACAAUACGAAUGGUAUGCAGUUGUCAAAAAGGAACAGAAAACUAUGGAAUACUAAAUAAUUUGAGACUAUCUCAUUCAUAUACAAUUUACAUGUACAUAUUCAAAAUCAAUAUUUACGCAUUCCUGGAAUCACAAAAGAACUACAGAACUGGCAGUCUAAUAUUAUCGUCUGUUACUAUCACCAAUCGGAUUAUAAGAAUUGCACAAAAAGAGAUGGCGGACGAACUACAAAUAUUAGGUAAUAAAAAAGAGACCAGUUUACCUAUAAUAAAUAGUUAAUAAUAUAUACAUAUAAUGUAAUAAUACAUUUUCAUGAUCAAAAAUUUUAAAAUAAGUUUUAUUUUUAAUAACAGAAUUCCAGAAACAGUAUUAAAAAGAUAAAAAUUUCGUAAUUCUAAAUAUUUAAUUUCAAAACAUAUCUUCAUAUUAGUUACUAAAAUAGUUUAAUCUCUUUAGCAUCAAAAAUAAUUUCUCUCUCUCUCUCUCUCUCUCUCUCUCUCUCUCUCUCUCUCUCUCUCUCUCUCGCGCGCGCGCUCUCUCUCUCGCUCGCUCUCACUCUCUCUCUCUACAUAUUAUUGUUAAUAAUAAUUUCAUAAUUCUCAAUGCUUUUCUAAAUCAUAGUUUUCCAAAUAAUGCAGUUACACAAGCGUAUGACAUUCAUCAUAAUAAAUGCACAUCUCAUUCUUUAGAGCAGUGCAAUAAAUUAUAUCACAGAGUUGUCAUAUGUAUCAUCAAGUUCGCUUAAUUAUUUCGAUAAUUAUGUAGUUUAAGAGACACGGCGCGGUCCCCAAAACUAAAUAAUUACCAUUAUUUCAUAUUAAAAAUUGUUGCAUAAAAG